AGGAAGGAGAAGUCGUAACAAGGUUUCCGUAGGUGAACCUGCGGAAGGAUCAUUGUCGAAACCUGCCCAGCAGAACGACCUGUGAACUCUUUAAAACACCGRAGGGUGCGUGCCUUGCGUGCGCUCCCCUCUCUUCUGCAUCAGGUGCGGCCUUGUGCUCGUGCUUGUUACAGAACAACCAACCCCGGGCGCAGUAUGCGCCAAGGAAAACUAACAAGAGAGCACGAUCUCAGGCCCCAUACAUGGUGUGCUUGGGACGCAGUGCAUUCUUUCACAUUAUCUAUAACGACUCUCGGCAACGGAUAUCUAGGCUCUCGCAUCGAUNNNNNNNNNNNNNNNNNNNNNNNNNNNNNNNGAAUUGCAGAAUCCCGUGAACAUCGAGUCUUUGAACGCAAGUUGCGCCCCAAGCUCUUAGGCUGAGGGCACGUCUGCCUGGGUGUCACGCAUCAUUGCCCCACCCCACCCCUAUGGGGCCAGGUGGUGUGGGCGGAGAAUGGCCUCCCGUGAACAACCACUCGCGGUUGGCCCAAAUAUGAGUACUCGGUGACCAAAGCCGCGACGAUCGGUGGUGCAAACAUGCCUCUCGAGUUCACGUCGUGUGCCWAUGUCUUCCAUCAGAGAGACUCAAGGACCCUGACGCUCUGCAAAAGCAGAGCUCGCAUCGCGACCCCAGGUCAGGCGGGAUUACCCGCUGAGUUUAAGC
rnacentral:misc_RNA from 1 species